AGUGAACGCUGGCGGUAGGCCUAACACAUGCAAGUCGAACGGCAGCACCGUAAGAGCUUGCUCUUACGGGUGGCGAGUGGCGGACGGUUGAAGAAUACCUCGGAACCUACUUUUUCGGGGGGCGUAACGUAGGGAUACUUACGCUAAUACUGCUUACGACCUACGGGUGAAAGCAGGGGACCUUCGGAUCUUGCGCGACAGAAUGAGGCGAUGUCGGAUUAGCUAGUUGGCGGGUCAAAGACCGACCAAGACGACGAUCCGUAGCCGGACUGAGAGAAUGUUCAGCACAACUGGAACUGAGAAAAGCUCCAGAGGUCUACGGGAGGACGCAGGAGGGAAUAUUGAGCAAUGGGCGCAAGCCUGAUCCAGCCAUACCGAGUGAGUGAAGAAGGACUUCGGGUAUUAAAGCCCUUUUGUUAGGAAAGAAAAACAGCAGGUUAAAAACCGGCUGUUCUGACGGUACCCAAUGAAUAAGCACCGGCUAACUUCGUG
rnacentral:rRNA from 1 species